rnacentral:rRNA from 1 species
CGGUGAGUUGUAGAAAGAAAGGUCUUCGGUACUGGUAAAGUCCACGUUGAUGUGGAAGAAAAAGUCACGUUAUGUAAUAGGCUGCUAGCUUUGACGUACUACAGAGAUAAGCACCGGCUAACUACUGUGCCAGCAGCGCGGUAAUACAGUAGGGUGCAAGCGUUAAUCGGAAAUUACUGGGCGUAAAGCGCGCGUAGCGGUUCGUUAAGUCUGAUGUGAAAGCCCCGGGCUCAACCUGGGAGGGUCAUCGAAACUGGCGAGCUAGAGUAUGUAGAGGAGAGUGGAAUUUCAUGUGUAGCGGUGAAAUGCGUAGAGAUAGGAAGGAACACCAGUGGCGAAGGCGACUCUCUGGUCUGAUACUGACACUGAGGUGCGAAAGCGUGGGGAGCGAACAGGAUUAGAUACCCUGGUAGUCACGCCGUAAACGAUGUCAACUAGCCGUAGGAAUCCUCGAGAUUUUAGUGGCGCAGCUAACGCAUUAAGCACUCGCCUGGGGAAUACGGCCGCAAGGUUAAAAACUCAAAUGAAUUGACGGGGGCCCCCACCAAGCGGUGGAGCCAUGUGGUUUAAUUUGAAGCAACGCGAAGAACCUUACCAGGCCUUGACAAGCAUAGAACUUUCCAGAGAAGGAUUGGUGCCUUUGGGAACUAGAACACCGGUGGGGCAAGGGUGUUGUCAAGUUGUGUUGUGAGAAGGUGGGUUAAAUUCCGUAACGAGGGCCACCCUUGUCUUUAGUUACCAGCCAGUUAUGGUGGCCAUUCUAAGGAGACGCCGGGUGCCAACCCGGAGGAAGGUGGGGAGGACGUCAAUUCUUCAUGCCCCUUACGCCUUGGGUUCCCCACGUGUUCCAAUGGUCGGUCCAGAGGGUGGGCAAGCCGGGAGGUGGACCUAUUCUCACAAUACCUUUUCUAGUCGGGAUCCCAUUUGCCAAUUGGAUGGGGUGAAGUGGGAAUCGUUAGUAAUCGCAAAUCGCAAUGUUGGGGUGAAUAGUUUCCCGGCCUUGGUCCCCCCCCCCGGUCCCCCCAGGGGAUUGGUAACCCCCGAAGUUGGUGAGUUUACCUUUUAGGAGCCAGCCGCCCUAGGGGUGUACGGUU